rnacentral:ncRNA from 1 species
AACCUCAACUCAUAGGGGACUACCCCCUGAAUUUAAGCAUAUAAAUUAGGGGAGGAAAAGAAACUAACAGGAUUUUCUUAGUAGCGGCGAGCGAAAAGAAUCAGUUCAGCACUAAGUCACUUUGUCUAUAUGGCAAAUGUGAGAUGCAGUGUACGGAACAUCAACAUUCUAGUAUGAGAAGUUAACGAUUUAAGUCCUUCUUAAAUGAGGCCAUUUACCCAUAGAGGGUGCCAGGCCCGUAUAACGUUAAUGAUUACUAGAUGGUGUUUCCAAAGAGUCGUGUUGCUUGAUAGUGCAGCACUAAGUGGGUGGUAAACUCCAUCUAAAACUAAAUAUAACCAUGAGACCGAUAGUAAACAAGUACCGUGAGGGAAAGUUGAAAAGAACUCUGAAUAGAGAGUUAAAUAGUACGUGAAACUGCUUAGAGGUUAAGCCCGAUGAACCUGAAUAUCCGUUAUGGAAAAUUCAUCAUUAGAAUUGUAAUAUUUUAAACAAUAUUAUAAUAAUAGUGUGCAUUUUUUCCAUAUAAGGACAUUGUAAUCUAUUAGCAUAAAUAUUUAUCAUAAAAUUAUGUCUGAUUGCUUAUUUGAAUUAUAUGCUUGGCAUUUUAACAUAAAAUAAAAGAUAUAAAUUUGAUAAAGUGCUGAUAGAUUUAUAUGAUUACAGUGCGUUAAUUUUUCGGAAUUAUAUAAUGGCAUAAUUAUCAUUGAUAUUUGUGUUUAUUAUAUGCCUUUGUAUGAUUAACAAUGCGAAAGAUUCAGGAUACCUUCGGGACCCCUCUUGAAACACCGACCAAGGAGUCUAACAUAUGUGCAAGUUAUUGGGAUAUAAACCAUAUAACGUAAUUAACUUUAAUAUUAAUGGGGAUUAGUUUUUUACUAUUUAUAGUUAAUUAACCCAAUCCCCGGGGCCCCCUAAAUAGUAUGUAUAAAUAUAAUUUUAUUUUUUUUGCCCCUUACCGGGAACCCUCCCUUGGACAUAUAAGCUGGGGACCCCAAAAAAGGGGUAAA